GAAAUGCGAUACGUAAUGUGAAUUGCAGAAUUCAGUGAAUCAUCGAAUCUUUGAACGCACCUUGCGCCCCUUGGUAUUCCGAGGGGCACACCCGUUUGAGUGUCGUGAAAAUCUCAACCUUCUCGGUUUUCUUCUGGACACCGAAGGAGGCUUGGACUUUGGAGGCCUUUGCUGGCAUCUCUCUCUUCUUUGAGAGCCAGCUCCUCUUAAACGAAUUAGCGGGGUCCUCUUUGCCGAUCCUCGACAUGUGAUAAGAUGUUUCCAUGACUUGGUUUCUGGCUCUGUUGCCUUUGGGACCUGCUUCUAACCGUCUCGACGAGACGACGUUUGGGCGCGUCUCCCUUCUCGGGAGACUCUCUCAACCCCACGAACCCUUGACCUCAAAUCGGGUGAGACUACC
rnacentral:misc_RNA from 1 species